GAGGGAGCGUCCGCGGCCCGCGCGCCCGCGCGGCGGAGGAGAGGUGUUAAGUGUGAUGCUUCCAUAAUACAUUUGGAUGCUGUCAGCUAAGUUCACUUCUGAACUAAGGGGUUCCUCCAAAUGUUGGCUGAAAUUCAUCCCAAGGCUGGUCUGCAAUUACCUAUUUCUUUUAAGAAUAAAUUUAGUGGGAAUAUCAGUUCCAGUCAUGGGUACCAAACUUUUUUAGUGACAGAGUACACACAGAGUCUGCAAUUCAUAAUGGAGCUACUGUACUGGCUAUUGGAAGGAGGAGAUUCUGAAGAUAAGGAGGUAAAACCUGUUUAGAAAUUAAAAAUGAGUUACGAUUUAAAGAAAAUUCAGAUGACUCAUUGUGAGUGCUAGUUCUCUUGUAGGAUGCCACUGGAAAUGUUGAAAUGAAAAAUAUUCAGCCGUUGGUCUUUGAAAUUUCCUGUGAUGUGUUUCAAUCUAGAUGCAAAGAACAUGGAAAAAUCAAAGUGCUCGAGUGGUUUAAAUAUGUUUUGGGUAUUCCUGUUUAUAGACUAUAAUACUUUUCCAAUUAAAAUCCUCAGUUGUCACGCA
rnacentral:lncRNA from 1 species